GCGCCGGUGGUGUAAAGGCGUAGAGCAUUCCCGCCCGGUUAGAGGGAGGUGCGGGUUCGAGUCCCGCCUGGUGCU
rnacentral:tRNA from 1 species